AAAAAUAUUUCUCUAGUUGUACCAAAGAAUGCAUGAAGAAGGUUACAAGGUUGGGAACAUAUAUAUUCAAAAAUAUAAAAAUACAAACUGAAAGGACACAAUUCAAUGCAAUGGUUGGUGGGAUACUGGUAAUUUGCAUGAUAACCCUCAAAUAUUUUUCCUUUCUUCAGAUAGUAGAUUAAGACUUCUGCAACAUACUUCUAGCAUCCUUGAUGAUCUGGCCAGUGCGGAAGUAUCUGGAGAGAAUGGAAACCAGAGAAACACAAAAGCCAACUCGAAUCUUCUCCAAUUUUAUUUUCUGAAUUCUUCAAAGAGGUUAGCCAGGAGGGAAUUGCUUCUCUUACCACACCUGAUACUCACUGUGAUGCAGAAGGCCCAGCCCAGCCAUAGGAACUAUGAGGUAAUAAGUGCCAAUGUUUAAAACAAGUAAGUUCUGAAAUGCUUUGACAUAUAAUCAUAGAUCCUUAAAGUGGCCAUAAUAUAAAUGCAAAACCAAAAUAUACCAGCCUUAAGCCUCAAACUCAACCUGGAUAGAAUGGAAGGGAUCUGUCAAUACUCUAUCUUCCAAGAAUAACAUAGAUUAAAUACUGUACAAUUUUAAAUAUAUAUAAUGUCUAGCAUUUGUUUCAAAUUUAUAAGACAUGAUAAAAAUAGCAUCAAGCAACUGAAAAACAAGAGAAAAAUAGCAGAGGCAGUAAUAGAAACCAAAUGUUGGUCUACAAUUCAGAUUCAUUACACAAUGACUUUAAGAUAAACAAUUAGGGGACAUGUGAAGUAUGUGGUAUGUCUGUAAAGCAUGUAAUGGAAUUUUAAAGCCUAAUUUUAACUUGUAAAUGAACACUUUCAGGAAAGAAGAACAGUUGUGAAUCUCUGAUUCAAUCUUUCAUUUCAAGAAGCUUGCCAGGAAAAAAGUUAAGCCAAAAGAAACAGAAUGGCAGAAAUAGUAAUGGUAAAAGGAAAUAAUUAAAUAGAUAAUAUGCAAUAGAGUACACAGAAUUUGUUUCCUCAAUCCUGAUUUGAUCAGUACACACUGUAUUCAUGUAUUGAAAUAGCACAC
rnacentral:lncRNA from 1 species